CAGGAGACCUUCAGUUGCCCACCCCUGAGUCAGCCAAUCAGCCCAGGUUUGUUUUUUCCAGUAUUCACUCUCCCAGUACUUGCACACCUUUUAACCUCUCACUCCUCACUUCCUCUUGUUAUCUCCCUGUCUAUUCCCUAAUGUAAUUUUUAGAUUCCUGUGAUUUACUCUGCUCUGGUUCCCUGUGUUCUCCAUGACUGUUAUUGUAAGAUUUUGUUUAUUUUUUCAUUAAAAACCACAAAAUCUACUUGAUGCCUCCACCUGCUGCAUUUUGGUUCACCAACAAACACUAAACAUGACUCUGGGAAUCUUAAGCAGCUGCUUUGUUCAUUUUAUGCCGUAUGUCAGCUCUGAAUGUGACUAGCAUUGUUUUUAAUGUAUACUGGCUUAUUACUUAAUUUCCAUGACGCCAUCUUUCAAUCAUUCUAGGGGGUUUGUCAGCAAGUGACCAAUCAGUAGUAGUCGUAAUUUGCUCUGAAGUACAUGUUUCUUAUCUUGAGGAAUUGAACCUCCGACAACAUUGCUGGGCUUCAUCAUUGCUAAUGAAUUGCGGUCAUGGAGAUUUUGAGGAAAAUAAUAGGAAAUUCUUAUCAAAUGUUGUCAGAAGGAACAUGCAAUUCCCACCCCUGUUAUCCAGCUGUUAGAGCGUGGAAUACAAUUUAUUACAUUUGCAAAAUCCAAAAGGAAUCUGGAAAAUGCAAGAGGUGGAUUAAGGCCUGCAGCCGACCUCAUGUCCAGCUGAAUGAAACUGUGAUCGACACAUACUACAUGUUCAUCUAUUCGUAUGUAACUGGUUGUAAAUGCAACUGGGUCCAUAUUAAUAUUGGUAUAAUUAAACUAAAUAUGUUUCUUUAAUGUCUAUCAUUGGGGUUAGUUCCUCAUGUUCCACCUCACUUUCUUCUUUUUCUCCAGGCUCCUUAUAGCAGGACGGUUAUAAUCACUUCUUCUUUCCUUUUAUUUGUUCCACUGGCAAGUUUUAUAAUCCGGCACAUGAAGUUGUUCCAAUUUAGCACGUAAUAGUGUUUUAAUACUGUUCACAUUGUAACUUUCUACACUUUAAUCACAACUAAUAAAUAUUAAGUGCAAAAAUAGCUGUUCUAAAAAAGCAUGCUUUAAGUUAAAUAAUCAUUAAUAAAGUUAAAAUAUACCGAUUUUUAGUCUUGCUUUAAGUAUGCCCAAGUAUGCUAAUAUUUAAUUUACUUUGCGUAUUUAUUUUUCCCAAGGGAUGAAUACCGGUGUUUUACGUGGAAAUGUAUGAACUAGAGUCCCUGCUGCUCUGCAGGGCGUCCUGUGCGGACACACCGCCUCCCACCACCCAGAGGGAACCGCUAAUGACCACAGACGGGAAUCAUCUGCCUGACUGCACAUGUGAAACGUCGCACGAACCUGCAAUGACGAUUAUCCUGGUCGAGGCGCGCAGUGUUCGGCUGCAACAUGAGCUGCAAAAAUCCUGCAGUCCGACUCGGAGUACUGCCGUUUAUGGGACCUAGACACCGCAUCGUUUGGUUCAGCUCACCUUAAGCAUUGGUCUAGUACAAAGUAUGUUUUCAACAUAUAUUUGGUAGAUGCUUCAUUCCGCAUGGAAGUGGCUCAGUGGGUGGAGAACUAACAAGAGGAGUGUUUUCAUCAUAGUCACCCAGAACCGCAUUAUGGAGCCGGUAGGUAACUGCAACGCUUGGAGCAUUUUUUUGGCACUAUGGUGUCAUGCCGAGAAUCGCGUGCUCUAUCGCGGGAACGCGCAUCGCUCUUAACUCUCGCAUAUUGAUGACCGAAGAGGCUUGUGCGUUUGUCGGCGUAACGCCGGCGCAGCCCUGAGAUUUGAGGAGCGAAUCCGUCCCUGGCCGCUGGCCGCUGGCCGCUCGCCGCUGGCCGCUCGCCGCCCACUGACUGUGAAAUGUUGCACAGAGAAACUUGUGCAACUGGAUCGUUACUUUCUGUUUUGCAUACUGAAGUUAACAUUUCUACCGAGGAUUCCAAAGCUCCAGUUUGAUGCUGUAUUGGACCAACAUGCCUCCCAGCUCCAGAGCUUAUUUAGGAAGAAGCUGCUUGCACUGGAAAAGUGAAUGAUUUUCUGUCUCAGCUCUAAAGAACCCAUGAUGUCUAGACUCCUCCACCUUCAUCAAAACAUGGGAUGUAAGUUUUCAGCAAAUUUAACAAUAUCCUUUAUUAACCUUGAUCAUGUUUCCCAAAACAU